GGGGGUGUAAAGGUUUCGACGGGGGUAAUAAGCAAAGGUUGCAUGCCGAGGUACGGGUGGCUCGUAAAACAAUCCGUGACGCUUUAAGCGCCGAUAAUUACGAUUACGCUUUAGCAGCCUAAUAAGUUGCUAACGUCCUACCUGCCCUCUCCCACGGGGGAGGAUAGGACGUCAUUCAGUGGGAUAGUUUCAGGGAGAGUCCGUGGCCCUGCGGCGAAAUCAAGCGGAAUCGCGACUCAAGAAUCCCGGCCAGUGGAGUCUUGAGGGGCUAAACUUAAAUACAGGUACAAGCAUGUAGACGCCUUCUGUGUACGAUUCUCGGACGCGGGUUCGAUUCCCGCCACCUCCACCA
rnacentral:tmRNA from 1 species